CUCCUCAAGAAACCGGCGCAGAAGCUGUGCGCAGGAGCGAGGGAGGGUCUGCCUUCUGUCUGCCGGUGCCACUCGCUUCACGUGACCCGGAACCAGGUCUUCUACAGCAUAGAGAUAUGGAAAAUGGAAUCUGCUCAUGUUCGCUGUCUGACAAAACCAGCAGGAAUACCUGUUUCACCCCCAGAGAUCUGGGAGAGACGUGAACUGCCACUUGGUUGCCAAGUUCACUGAAACAGUUCUUCCAGAAGGCAGAGCUGUGGGAAGAUGGCUACAAUCCCUGGCUUGAAUAUCACAGAUUUCUACUCUUCUUGUUACGUGUCCACACAUUUUGCAGGAUUAAGGUUUCUCAAUUUGUUGUAAACCCCUCAAUCAAUCUCCAGAGAUUUUGAACAAUUGACUUUAUUAAUUUUGA